UCAUAUGCUGUCUCGCAGCUAAGCCAUGCAUGUCUAAGUGUAAAUGCUUUAUAGUGAAACUGCGAAUGGCUCAUUAAAACAGUAAUUGUUUGCUUGGAAACAAUCCGACUUUCGGAUACCUGCGGCAAUUCUACAGCUAAUACGUGACGGCUUUUUCGGAAGCGGUGCAUGUUAAUUAGGACAAUCGGUAGAGGUUACUUUACCUUGAAAGAACACCUUCAUGCGUGAAUCGUGUUACGAUACGAAUGUCCAUCGAAGUUUCUGACCUAUCAGGCUCCGACGGUUGGGUAUUGGCCAACUGUGCCUAUAACGGGUGACGGGGGAUUAGGGUUUGAUUCCGGAGAGGGAGCAUGAGAGAUGGCUACCACAUCUAAGGAAGGCAGCAGGCGCGCAAAUUACCUAUCUUUAACACGGAGAGGUAGUAAACAGAAAUAAUGACGCGCGAUCUUUAUUGUGCGAUCGGAAUGGAUAGCUUGUAAACAAGGCUAUGAAAUCAACUAGAGGGCAAGUCUGGUGCCAGCAGCCGCGGUAAUUCCAGCUCUAAUAGCGUAUAUUAAAGUUGUUGCAGUUAAAACGUUCGUAGUCUACCUCUGUCUGCGCGGUUGAUUGGGGGCCUAUGGCGUUCCAAGCAUUUCCGACAGAGAGUAUGCAGCUUUCGCCGGGCAUGCUUCAUGUACGGACGCAGGUUGCAUUGUACUUUGAGUGAAUCGACGUGUUUCACGCAGAUUAAUGUCUUGGACGAUCUACCAUGGUAUAAAAAUAGUUUGAAUAUGCCACGUUGGUUGUUUCGAGGUGCAUUCUACUGCCAAAAGAACGGUUGAGGGCAUUCGUAUUCAACUGCCAGAGGUGAAAUUCUUUGAUUAGUUGAGGACGACCUACUGCGAAAGCAUUUGCCAAAGACCUUUCUUCUGAUCAAGAACGAAAGUUAGGUGACCGAAGAUGAUUAGAUACCGUCGUAGUCGAGGGAAUAAACGUUCAUAGCCCAGCGCCGUAUGAUAUCAGAUACCCUAUUUCGGAACAGGAAGAGACAUCCAGAGUCUAUCAGUUCUGGGGGGAGUAUAGUUGCAAGGCUGCAUUUUAAAGGAAUUGACGGAAGGGCACCACCAGGAGUGGAGCCUGCGGCUUAAUUUGACUCAACACGGGAAAACUCACCCGGCCCGGACACCGUGAGGAUUGACAGAUCGAGAGCUCUUUCUUGAUUCGGUGGGUGGUGGUGCAUGGCCGUUCUUAGUUGGUGGAGCGAUUUGUCUGGUUAAUUCCGAUAACGAACGAGACUCUAGCCUGCUAAAUAGUUGGUCGACGCCCAUCGGCGUCGGCUCCCACGCGCCGUCGAGCGCGAACUUCUUAGAGGGACCAGCGGCUUUUAGUCGCGCGAGAUUGAGCAAUAACAGGUCUGUGAUGCCCUUAGAUGUUCGGGGCCGCACGCGCGCUACACUGAAGGCAUCAACGUGUGUCAAAGUCCUGGCGCGAGAGCGCCGGGUAACCCGUUGAACCGCCUUCGUGCUAGGGAUCGGGGUUUGCAAUUAUCCCCCGUGAACGAGGAAUUCCCAGUAAGCGCCGGUCAUAAACCGGCGUUGAUUACGUCCCUGCCCUUUGUACACACCGCCCGUCGCUACUACCGAUUGAACGGUUUAGUGAGAUGUUCGGAUCGGUCGGCCAGGCUCCGUGCCUCGCGCGCGGCGGCCACGGCCGCGCUGAGAAGACCCUCGAACUUGACCGCUUAGAGGAAGUAAAAGUCGUAACAAGGUUUCC
rnacentral:rRNA from 1 species